CCUACGGGUGGCAGCAGUGAGGAAUAUUGGUCAAUGGUCGGGAGCCUGAACCAGCCAAGCAGCGUGAGGGAGGAAGGUCCAGCGGAUUGUAAACCGCUUUUGUCAGGGAACAAAGCCUGGUACGCGUCCGCCGUUGCGUGUACCUUAUGAAUAAGCAUCGGCUAACUCCGUGCCAGCAGCCGCGGUAAUACGGAGGAUGCGAGCGUUAUCCGGAUUUAUUGGGUUUAAAGGGUGCGAAGGCGGUCUGUUAAGUCUGCGGUAAAAGCCCGUGGCUCAACCCCGGCCCGCCGUGGAAACUGGGGGGCUUGAGUUCGAGGGAAGUAGGCGGAAUGCGCCGUGUAGCGGUGAAAUGCAUAGAUAUGGCGCAGAACCCCGAUUGCGAAGGCAGCAUGCUGGAUCGAAACUGACGCUGAGGCACGAAAGCGCGGGUAUCGAACAGGAUUAGAUACCCCGGUAGUC
rnacentral:rRNA from 1 species